UCGAGAAUCUUCCUCAAUGGGCGCAAGCCUGAAGGAGCAACGCCGCGUGUGGGAUGAAGGCCUUCGGGUUGUAAACCACUGUCAGUUGGGAGGAAGGCUCCGUGAAGAGCGGAGUUUGACCUAUCUUCAGAGGAAGGCCGGGCUAAGUUCGUGCCAGCAGCCGCGGUAAGACGAACCGGCCAAACGUUAUUCGGAAUCAUUGGGCUUAAAGGGUGCGUAGGCGGCGUGGUCAGUUGGGUGUGAAAUCCCUCGGCUCAACCGAGGAACUGCGCCCAAUACUACCAUGCUCGAGGGAGACAGAGGCGAGCGGAACUGAUGGUGGAGCGGUGAAAUGCGUUGAUAUCAUCAGGAACACCAGUGGCGAAAGCGGCUCGCUGGGUCUCUUCUGACGCUGAGGCACGAAAGCUAGGGUAGCGAACGGGAUUAGAUACCCCCGUAGUCC
rnacentral:rRNA from 1 species